GAGGGAGUAGUAUUAUCACUUUAUUAUUAGAGAAAAGUCUGUCAACAAAUUGUAAAUACUGCAUGAGAUAAUAUUGUUCAAUGAACAAGAUAACAUGAUGGGUUUUAGUAAUAAUAAGUAAUUAUAAGUAAUUUUAUAUCCUAGCCGCCAGCUAGUCAAGUAAUCAAUGUGUAAAAGUGCUUAAUAAUUUAACAGGAGUAAGUGUUAAAAGAUAGUUUAACACCAGUGCUACAUCUUGACACAGUUAGUCAAGCACUACUGCCGCACUGCAUAAUGCAGUCACAAUUUACAGAGAACUUGUCUAUCAUGAGAAUGUCUGAAUGAUGUAGCUGUCUAGUUGGAAUGGAACACAUUGGUACCAUAGGACGUCCUUCAACAGAAGCAACUGGUAGGAGGAUUACACGGUCUGUGUAUAAAAGUGGGCGGUGUUCGCUUUCAGGCAAACGUACUCUAGCUAAGAUGAGUCGACAUACACAAAACAUUGGCAAAAUGUAGAAAUAGUAAGAGCAUGAUUAGUUUCACACCAAAAGUAGUCUAGCCAGUUUACGUUUUUUUCAGUGAGAUAAAGCCAGGAAUUCAGACAUCUCAGCUAGUCUAACACUGAACAGACUGCUAACUACCGAGCGAAGGAACAUUAAUAGCAUCGGUGGAUAACUGAGCUAACUAGUACGUACAUAGCGCUAAUACAAGUGUAACGAAUAACAAACACCCCGCCUUAUAUUCAAAUAUGUUAAGGUAGCUAGAUAGACAACACAGUUGUAGACCUCGAGCUUUGGAUCAUCAGGAUCAGUCUAAUUGCUGGCUAGCAUGGUUGAAGAUCUGCAACAACUAGCGGUGCUAGUACACAAUUCCAAGCCGGCUGAAGUCCGAGCUGGACAUGGGGACCAAGUCCACAGGGUGCCUUUGACAUCUGACAGCAGGAUCAUAACAGGAUCAGUCUCCACGUCUCAAAUCCCGCGGUGGGAUGUGACUGUGAAAACAACGCGUGUUACAUAACCACAGACGCCCCCCUCACCGCCACGGACAGCGGCUCAGGAAGACACAUGGGAAGUUUGAACCUUUCCUGCUUCUCAGUCAGCUGGCACGAGACACGUCUGUGGUCCUGUAGCUGGUUGGGUAGACCUCAGAGGUAAAAGGCACGGGCUUCCCCAAACAAGUGAGAACACAGGACUACAAAUAAAUCAGCGGUAUGAGUUUGACAUGUAUAAGCUUUAUUUCUUAUUGAACAGUACCAUUCUCAGCUAUCGGGAUGAGCUCCUCCUAACUGUGAUGCACACAUUGCUUAGAUGGAGGUGGUGUUAAGACAAAGAUCAAUUAUAAAGCUUGUAUUAUAUUUUUUUGUAAGAUCUUCGGUUUCUUUCGUCUUUUUCUCAGUAAAUUGCGGUUAAAGUGUUCUUGUUACGCUGAACAGCUGGGAUAAAGUGGACAGUGGUGCUCUCUAGUGGUCAAAUCACACCAUUGCAUUCAUUAAAAAAAACAGUACUAAGGGGGAAAAGGACAUGUUGUUCCCACUGAGUGACACAUGAAUAUACAGUACCAGUAGAAAGUUUUGUACAACAUCAUGUGUUGCAAUUGCCGUGUUAUUGUACUGUUUAUGAAGCUCUGAACCCUCUGAUUCAGAGAGACUUGCUAAGACAUUCCUGGCUUCUUGAUGUGGUUGUUCCUUUGUCUUUUAUUCCACAAAUGAAAGUAAAAAGUAUUGGCUAAAACAUGCAAA